UACAGAGGGUGCGAGCGUUAAUCGGAGUUACUGGGCGUAAAGGGCGCGUAGGCGGGUGUACAAGUUAAAUGUGAAAUUCCGAAGCUCAACUUCGGAGCUGCAUUUAAGACUGUGGACCUAGAGGAUUGGCGGAGGAAAUGGAAUUCCACGUGUAGCGGUGAAAUGCGUAGAUAUGUGGAAGAACACCGGUGGCGAAGGCGAUUUUCUAGCUUAUUCCUGACGCUGAGGCGCGAGAGCAAGGGGAGCAAACAGG
rnacentral:rRNA from 1 species